ACACCGGCAGCUCAAGUGGUGGCCAUUUUUUAUUGGGCCUAAAGCGUUCGUAGCCGGCUUGAUAAGUCUCUGGUGAAAUCCCAUAGCUUAACUGUGGGAAUUGCUGGAGAUACUAUUAGGCUUGAGGCCGGGAGAGGUUAGGGGUACUCCCAGGGUAGGGGUGAAAUCCUAUAAUCCUGGGAGGACCACCUGUGGCGAAGGCGCCUAACUGGAACGGACCUGACGUUGAGGCUCGAAAGCGUGGGGAGC
rnacentral:rRNA from 1 species